GUGUGUGAGAAUUGGAUGUAGUGAACAUCCAGAAAAGGCAGACAAAAGAAGAAAAUGCAGUGCUGGCUAGGUGUUGGAGAUGGGUCUUUACAUAGCUCUGGCUGUCCUCAAACACAUCCAUCUUGGCUCUCGAGUGCUGGGGAUUGUGUGUCAACCAGGCCGGCUAUUAUGAAUAGAGCAUGAGAUACAGAAAGUUGUUUGAAUUGAAUCCAAUAAAUGGAAGCACUCAGUCUCUUAAUCCUAUUGGGUUUAAAAUAUAGAUUGGAUUAAGGCUGGGUUUGGAGUGAACCUUUAGGACUAUGGCAAUGUUUAAGGGAUGUAUGCUAAUGGUUGUCCUGUCCGCACAUGCUCGACAAAACGUAAUUUGAUCCCAAGGCAGUGCCAUCUCUGUUCAUUUUCUUCCCUGGUCUAAAUGGUAAUUCCCAUCCUGAAAAUGGUGGGUGACAUUUUGUGGCAGUGGAGUUCCAUUAUAAUCCACAUUUCCUUGUCCAGCAGUGCUCACUGUAAAUGCUGAAAUAAAGGUUCAGUUGCAAC
rfam:Mesocricetus auratus contig237310, whole genome shotgun sequence.